rnacentral:lncRNA from 1 species
GAGGGAAAUGAAAUAAUCAAAUUUGGGCCUAUUACUGCCCAAAAACAUUGUGCCAAAGAUGCUGAUUUUUGGACUUUAGACCCAUUCACGUUUUUGUAUACACAAGUUGUAUUUCAAUGCAUACAACUCGUAUAUCAACCCCGUUUCCUGUAUCUUGGGUUGUACACCGGAUGUAUACAAUCUAUUUUGACCCCUGCAACCUGUGUCCUACAUCUCAGACCUGUAUUUCAACGUUUAGACCCGUAUAU